AUUGAACGCUGGCGGCAGGCCUAACACAUGCAAGUCGAGCGGAUGACGAGAGCUUGCUCCUUGAUUCAGCGGCGGACGGGUGAGUAAUGCCUAGGAAUCUGCCUGGUAGUGGGGGACAACGUUUCGAAAGGAACGCUAAUACCGCAUACGUCCUACGGGAGAAAGCAGGGGACCUUCGGGCCUUGCGCUAUCAGAUGAGCCUAGGUCGGAUUAGCUAGUUGGUGGGGUAAUGGCUCACCAAGCCGACGAUCCGUAACUGGUCUGAGAGGAUGAUCAGUCACACUGGAACUGAGACACGGUCCAGACUCCUACGGGAGGCAGCAGUGGGGAAUAUUGGACAAUGGGCGAAAGCCUGAUCCAGCCAUGCCGCGUGUGUGAAGAAGGUCUUCGGAUUGUAAAGCACUUUAAGUUGGGAGGAAGGGCAGUAAGUUAAUACCUUGCUGUUUUGACGUUACCGACAGAAUAAGCACCGGCUAACUCUGUGCCAGCCGCCGCCGUAACAC
rnacentral:rRNA from 1 species